rnacentral:rRNA from 1 species
UACGUAGGGGGCUAGCGUUGUCCGGAAUCAUUGGGCGUAAAGCGCGUGUAGGCGGUCCGGUAAGUCCGCUGUGAAAGUCGGGGGCUCAACCCUCGAAUGCCGGUGGAUACUGUCAGACUAGAGUACGGAAGAGGCGAGUGGAAUUCCUGGUGUAGCGGUGAAAUGCGCAGAUAUCAGGAGGAACACCCAUUGCGAAGGCAGCUCGCUGGGACGUUACUGACGCUGAGACGCGAAAGCGUGGGGAUCAAACAGG